rnacentral:tRNA from 1 species
GCCUGGGUGGCUCAGUCUGUUAAGCGGCUGACUUUGGCUCAGGUCAAAGUGGGUUCGAGCCCCACAUCAGGCU